UACGUAGGUGGCAAGCGUUGUCCGGAUUUACUGGGCGUAAAGGGAGCGUAGGCGGACUUUUAAGUGAGAUGUGAAAUACCCGGGCUUAACCUGGGUGCUGCAUUUCAAACUGGAAGUCUAGAGUGCAGGAGAGGAGAGUGGAAUUCCUAGUGUAGCGGUGAAAUGCGUAGAGAUUAGGAAGAACACCAGUGGCGAAGGCGACUCUCUGGACUGUAACUGACGCUGAGGCUCGAAAGCGUGGGGAGCAAACAGGAUUAGAAACCCCAGUAGUCC
rnacentral:rRNA from 1 species